GGUGAACGCUGGCGGCGUGCCUAAUACAUGCAAGUCGAGCGAACAGACGAGGAGCUUGCUCCUCUGACGUUAGCGGCGGACGGGUGAGUAACACGUGGAUAACCUACCUAUAAGACUGGGAUAACUUCGGGAAACCGGAGCUAAUACCGGAUAAUAUAUUGAACCGCAUGGUUCAAUAGUGAAAGACGGUUUUGCUGUCACUUAUAGAUGGAUCCGCGCCGCAUUAGCUAGUUGGUAAGGUAACGGCUUACCAAGGCGACGAUGCGUAGCCGACCUGAGAGGGUGAUCGGCCACACUGGAACUGAGACACGGUCCAGACUCCUACGGGAGGCAGCAGUAGGGAAUCUUCCGCAAUGGGCGAAAGCCUGACGGAGCAACGCCGCGUGAGUGAUGAAGGUCUUCGGAUCGUAAAACUCUGUUAUUAGGGAAGAAUAAAUGUGUAAGUAACUAUGCACGUCUUGACGGUACCUAAUCAGAAAGCCACGGCUAACUACGUG
rnacentral:rRNA from 1 species